rnacentral:lncRNA from 1 species
GCGGCAUCUCUAUAAGUAAGGGGCCUCCACAGUAACACAACUUGCACACGCUUAAAAUCGACGCUAAAUGCCAAUUAUUUUUUAUUAAUAAAUAUUCUACCUGUAUGGUAGCGUGAAUAGAAAAAAAGCAACAAAAAGGAAUAAUAAUCUUCUUUUAAAUUAUUGAAAACACACUUACCCUUUUCUCAAUCUCAUAAUCCAAUCACCACGAGUAUUUAAAAAGGAACGAGCCAUUGACGUAUUGAUACAAUCCAUCUUUUGUCACACUCCAACCGCAUCCCGAUUCAGCACACUCUUUGGCGUCGAAAAGAGGGAAUUUUUUCUCCGAACUUUUGGUAAGCAAGUCGCACGAAGAAGAGGGAUUCGGGUUCGCUGCAUCAAUACUCCACACGGCAUAACCUCCAUCUGGCGCUAAAACUUCGUAGAAUUGAUUGCCAUUAUCGUUGCAUAGAAUCUCUAGUGGAUCAUCUAAUUUAUUUACGACGAGUAUACUCAUCUGAUUUGAAUAUACUGAAGUGUUGUAUAUUGCGAAAAGAACAACAAAUACAAGAAGUUGGAAUUUGAAGGAAUUCAUCUUCAUUUUUUGUGGGCAUAAGGCAAUGGUGAUUUUUCUUUAACAUGAGACUUGUAAUAUAAGAUUUUGUGUAACGUCUAAUCUUAUUUAUUAGUGUCAUAAAUUAGAUUUAUGAAGGUGUUUUAGUA